rnacentral:tRNA from 1 species
GCCUGGGUGGCUCAGUAGAGCAUCUGACUUCAACUCAGGUCACGAUCUCACAGUUCGUGAGUUCGAGCCCCGCGUCGGGCU